GCCGGGUUAGCACAGCGGUAGUGCAGCGGUUUUGUAAACCGUUGGUCGGGGGUUCAAAUCCCUCACUCGGCACCA
rnacentral:tRNA from 2 species